UUCACUGCUGUACACCCAGCCCCCAGCACAGCGCCUGUCCAGGACAAGUGCCCAGUAAACACUCGGGAAGCAAUGCAAGCGUGCACGCAUGGAUAAAUAUUUCUUUGGCAGAUGAGGGGGCUAAGGUUCAGAGAAGGCCCUGGGGUCUCAGACUCACAGCCCAGUGCUCUUUCUGCUUACACGCUCUGGUCUCUGGGGCAGUUUGUUGCCUGUUCAGCAACAAAGAGGGCGUGCCUAGUUAGGGGUCCUGCGUGAGAAUCGCAGUCCCUGCGUGUCUUGGCUGGAGGUCACCACCCUCUCUGCUCCAGGGCCUGUAAUUACCACUUACCCUGGUCAAUGGGUCCGAGAGAUUCCCCAUGUAGGCAGGGCUGUGGCCAGGGUGCUCACCUGGCCCCCAGCAGGUCCCGUGGGCACUGUCUGGCCGGGCUUCAUGGCUGACAUUCCAGGUCCUCCCAGCAGCUCCUGCAAGCAGACCCCCGACCCAAGCCCUUCCUUCUGCCUCCACUGCCACCAUUGCUGCUCAUCUCUGCUGGCACAGAAGUCUCUUCCCUGGUCUUCCAGAAAUCCCCUCUCCACACUCAGCCAGAGGGAGCUGUUAAAACUGCGGGCCAGCCCACAUCCGUCCACAGCAAAGUCCUCUCUAAGGGAUCCCUGUUGCUUGGAGAAUAAACCCUCAGAUUCGUUCCUUC
rnacentral:lncRNA from 1 species